rnacentral:rRNA from 1 species
GACGAACGCUGGCGGCGUGCCUAAUACAUGCGAGUAGAACGCACAGUUUAUACCGUAGCUUGCUACACCAUAGACUGUGAGUUGCGAACGGGUGAGUAACGCGUAGGUAACCUGCCUGGUAGCGGGGGAUAACUAUUGGAAACGAUAGCUAAUACCGCAUAAUAUUAAUUAUUGCAUGAUAAUUAAUUGAAAGGUGCAAUUGCACCACUACCAGAUGGACCUGCGUUGUAUUAGCUAGUAGGUGAGGUAACGGCUCACCUAGGCGACGAUACAUAGCCGAACUGAGGGGGUGAUCGGCCACACUGGGACUGAGACACGGCCCAGACUCCUACGGGAGGCAGCAGUAGGGAAUCUUCGGCAAUGGACGAAAGUCUGACCGAGCAACGCCGCGUGAGUGAAGAAGGUUUUCGGAUCGUAAAGCUCUGUUGUAAGAGAAGAACGGGUGUGAGAGUGGAAAGUUCACACUGUGACGGUAUCUUACCAGAAAGGGACGGCUAACUACGUG